CGAACGCUGGCGGCGUGCUUAACACAUGCACGUCGAGCGGUAAGGCCUUUCGGGGUACCCGAGCGGCGAACGGGUGAGUAACACGUGGGUGAUCUGCCCUGCACUUCGGGAUAAGCCUGGGAAACUGGGUCUAAUACCGGAUAUGACCUCCUAUCGCAUGGUGGGUGGUGGAAAGAUUUAUCGGUGCAGGAUGGGCCCGCGGCCUAUCAGCUUGUUGGUGGGGUAAUGGCCUACCAAGGCGACGACGGGUAGCCGACCUGAGAGGGUGACCGGCCACACUGGGACUGAGACACGGCCCAGACUCCUACGGGAGGCAGCAGUGGGGAAUAUUGCACAAUGGGCGAAAGCCUGAUGCAGCGACGCCGCGUGAGGGAUGACGGCCUUCGGGUUGUAAACCUCUUUCAGCAGGGACGAAGCGCAAGUGACGGUACCUGCAGAAGAAGCACCGGCUAACUACGUG
rnacentral:rRNA from 1 species